rnacentral:rRNA from 1 species
AGAACGAACGCUGGCGGCAUGUCUAAUACAUGCAAGUCGAACGAACACUUCGGUGUUAGUGGCGCACGGGUGCGUAACGCGUGGGAAUCUGCCCUUGGGUUCGGAAUAACAGUUGGAAACGACUGCUAAUACCGGAUGAUAUCGAAAGAUCAAAGAUUUAUCGCCCAGGGAUGAGCCCGCGUAGGAUUAGCUAGUUGGUGAGGUAAAGGCUCACCAAGGCGACGAUCCUUAGCUGGUCUGAGAGGAUGAUCAGCCACACUGGGACUGAGACACGGCCCAGACUCCUACGGGAGCAGCAGUAGGGAAUAUUGGACAAGUGGGCGCAAAGCCUGAUCCAGCAAUGCCGCGUGAGUGAUGAAGGCUUAGGGUUAGUAAGUCUCUUUACCGA